rnacentral:rRNA from 1 species
CCUACGGGUGGCAGCAGUGAGGAAUAUUGGUCAAUGGGCGCGAGCCUGAACCAGCCAAGUAGCGUGAAGGAUGACUGCCCUACGGGUUGUAAACUUCUUUUAUAAAGGAAUAAAGUGAGGCAUGUGUGCCUCUUUGUCUGUACUUUAUGAAUAAGCAUCGGCUAACUCCGUGCCAGAAGCCGCGGUAAUACGGAGGAUGCGAGCGUUAUCCGGAUUUCUUGGGUUUAAAGGGUGCGUGGGCGGAUUUUUAAGUCAGCGGUAAAAUGUCCGGGCUCAACCCGGGCCGGCCGUUGAAACUGGGGAUCUUGAGUGGGCGAGAGGUAGGCGGGAUGCGUGGUGUAGCGGUGAAAUGCAUAGAUAUCACGCAGAACUCCGAUUGCGAAGGCAGCAUACCGGCGCCCGACUGACGCUGAGGCACGAAAGCGUGGGGAUCGAACAGGAUUAGAUACCCGUGUAGUC